rnacentral:rRNA from 2 species
AAUAUUAACUGUCUCAUAUUAAUAUAUUUAUAAUUUAAUUUUUUAGUUAAAAAGCUUAAAUAUUUUUAUAGGACGAGAAGACCCUAUAGAUCUUUAUUAUUAUUAUUAUUUAUAUUUUUUUUGUUUAUGUUUUAAUAUUUUUAUAUAUUGUUUUGUUGGGGUGAUUUUGGGAUACAAUUAACUCUCUUUUUUUUUUUCAUUUAUUUUUGUUUUUUUGAUCUUUUAUUAUUGCUUAUAAAAUUAAAAUACCUUAGGGAUAACAGCGUAAUUUCCUUUAAAAGUUCAUAUUGACNAUGGAGUUUGCGACCUCGAUGUUGAAUUAAAAUUAUUGUUAGGUGAANAGGCUUAAAUAUUA